CCGGCUCGGCGGUGUGCGGAGGUCGAGCCGUCGGUCCAGGGGUGCGUGGGGGCCGCCCCCGGACAGAACCGGACCGGCGGGAGGUGGCGAGUGGCCCGUGCUCCUGCCCGGGAGGCUCGGUGCGAGGCCACACCGGCUCCCUCGUCCUCGGUGAGAGCGCGUCUACCCGUGGUUUCAAAGGAGAAGCACUUACAGCUGGAGGAUCCAUUACACUGCUGUUUGUAUCGUUGAUGGUUUUUCUUCGGUGAUCACAGGGACGCUCCAAAAUAUUCCGUGUCAUGGACCAAUCCAAUUAACAUAAAAUAAAGGAAACAGCUCAUGAUGGAAAAGUGCAAUCAGAUGCUUGGUUAAGGGGCAUCCCAGCACAGUCUUGGUCCUCGUGUUAAACUGCCAGAAUAAGAUUGUGUGUAGUUAUCGUUGAAGAGAGUGGCAAAGUAGGCAAUUUCAGCAGUUGCACAAAUUGAGAAAGCUGAGUAGCACAUCUCAAAUCUUUGUGGUAAACGGUCAGAAAUGUUGCUUAUUAGUACACUUGAAACGCAGAAGUACAGCUUCAGAAAUUAAACUCCCAAACUUUUGAUAAGCAUUAAAAGCAAAGGUAUCUUCAAGAGAAAUGUGGUUCUGUUAAUCAUGGUCACAUGAUGUGGAAGUCGUCCACAAGGUUCCCAAGGCAGCGGGCACGGGAAAGGGUUCCAAAUUAGCACCCCACUGGCAUAAGUGGUUGCGAUGUGAAUUCCUUUCUAGCUGGCCUAGCACCAUCCACCUAGCAAAAAACAUGACUGGGACAAAUACUGCUGUUCUCUAGCAAGCAGUGAGUUGACCUGGGAGUUGGAAUAGGAUGUUGUACAUCAGCACAGAAAAAAAUGCAUAAGAAUAUGAGAAAAUGAGAGCAUCUGCCGCCAUUAGCCCAUCAGCUUUCCUUUCUGCUGGACCUUGCAGCCUCCUCUCGCCAAGUCCUUCCACUGCCGUCUCCACACGCUUGCUGAAGGGGGAAGCUGUGAGGGAAAGUAUUUUUCACUCCCUGUGCAGUCCUGGAGGAGCCAGAAAGACACGUGGAACUGCACAGCCACCCAGCAGGAGUUUCUGUUUGAGCCCUGAAAUCGUGUGCACAAGGGGAGAAGACAGCAGGAAGCUUGAGUCAUUUGUCGAGGGACAAAGCCACCACAGCAGGGGAAACAGCUGCCUUUGGCUGACUUUCCAGAGGAUACGGGAGAAACAGGGGAGGAGCCAACCAGGAGCUUGUCCGAGUCCUAAAUAGAUUUAUUGAAGGGUAUGAAAGUUCAGGAUUAUGAGACCCUCCCAGUGGACCUGCCCUAAUUGUAGCCUGGGUUUAUACUGAUUACCAUCACACUGGUGGGUGCCAUGAUCUGGAACAGAGGCAGGCGUGACGUGCACGUCCGCAAGCUGGGAACUAACAGCUGUUUGCAUUCAUAUGAGGAUUUAUUCCCUAGGGAAUCAUCUCAUCCUUAUUUGGAAAUUUAUUUUAUUUACUUUAUUUUCCAAAUCCCUAUUUGGAAAGAGG